AAUGAUAUGCCUGAAAAAAGGGUUAUUUUGAUAGAAUAAAUUAUGUAAAUUACUUUACUAUCGUUU
rnacentral:tRNA from 1 species